CCGGCAUGAUGGCGUGAAUGGACACCCGGCAAGUAAGUGGAGGGAUGAAUGUCUGUGUGAGUGUAUGUUUAAUUAGCAGGUUGGGCUCCAGUUGUGCACCCUUGGUUACCCUGUCCAACAGAGAAAGGAGGAGGAAAAGUGUCGCGGUUUAGUGGGGAAUUAGCGACGCUGGCGGGGAGGGAAAUGUUUGGCGCGUGUGUAGAUCAGUAUUUGAUCUUGUUUACAAGAACAUUUCUUUAUUUUAUUUUAUUUCUUUCUUUCUUUUUUGUCAUAGUGCACUAAUUUGAAAAAAAAAAAAAGCUUUCUAUCUACACCCAGAUGUCCCACCAACAGUGAUUUGAGUUCUCCCUCGAGCUAUUACAGUGACUUAAACACUCCCACCUGUCCUCAUUGCUCAUUUCUUCUGCAUCUGAAUGAGUAAGAAAAACACUUGACUGCCCAUUCUCCUUAACUGAGAGUAAUAUAGCUCUUGUGUUUGCCUAGUUCAUGGUUUUGCAAUGAAUGACAAAAUUAUCCAGACAAAGCACAUAACUCUGGGUUUCCCCAUCAGGCGCUCAUUAUGCUCAACACCUUUCCUACAUAGAAGAAGAAGAUCCAAUCCAGAUCCGGGCAGUGUCUUAUUUUAUGACUGCUUUUAGGAGUGUCACAUUACUGUUUCCUUUAGCCUUAAUGUGACACCAACAAGAGGGAACUGUUGAUUUGUUGGCCCAAAUUGAUGCCAUUCUACUCCUACUUUAGUGCUUUAUUUCUAAUCAGCCACACUCUCUCUCUUUUACUUUCAUUCCUCAUGUUAUACCUUUUAAUCUUUCUGGCCGUUGGAAGAAAGCCAGAGCCAUUAGCCUGCUGUCUGUUUGAGGAGCGGCCUCUGGCAGACAGCGGGUCUAUCCUGCUGGCUUAUGGUAAAUGAACAGCAAACUUGGUCACGCAGUGGACAGUAUGGGGGACCUUGAGCGAUGAAAGGUGAAUAGGUUGUGCAAGGGCCUGUGCACUUGGAGACAGUAUGUGGAAGUUGCAUAGUUCAUGUUUUUAUAGGUUUUCUUUGAGGUGCCAGAGGAGCUGUUAGCUGUAUCCGCCUAGACCUUGACUGCCUAUACACUGUCCAUCUCACUGUGCUCUUAUAGCAUAGACUUAAAUGCACUGACUGACUUCACACAUUUUAUAAACAUGAUCAUAUUUUACUUUGGCUUUAAAUGAACUUCAUAUUUGUUUGCUUUCUUACUUUUUUCAAACCUUUUGUGUUGUUGUGCCGUUUGUUAUGGCCUUUGAGCCACAUUAUGACAGUGAAGCACAAAGAGAGUGCUCCUGUGCAUCUGACUUUAGUGUUUAUUUUUGGCCCUAGGGUUUCUGCAGCAGGAUUGGGAUGGAGUCACCCUUCACUGCAUGACCAAGAACGGGACAAAAAGUCAACAGGAGCUGAUGGAUGGACAGAAAUUUCUCCUCCGUUGGAUGAAUACAGGUUUGUCUUAUCUUAUCUCAUCUAAAUGUGAUGUUGAUGCUGCCUUUAACUCUCACACCUGAUCAAUGAAACAAUUAUAGGCCAGAUUAACUCACACUGAUGAGCGAUCUUUGAUUUUGAUUUGUGGAGUUUUCAAAGAAAAGGAGCCUCCCAGGUUAGGGGAAUAAUUGCUAAAACAGCUGUCAAUAUCGGAUAAAGCUUUGAUUGCUAAUAAGAGAAACACCUGACAACCCAUUUUGUGAUUAAACAGUCGAUAUUAUUCCUUACGAGCGAACAUCCCCAGCUUUCUUUCAUUAAUAUUCGUGCGCCCACUUUCUGACUUCAGCAUGAAUGUGUCAUUCAUUGUGAGCUGUGCCUCAUGCCCUUUCUAAUCAUAGAGAGGUGACUGCAUCCUUGUCCUUCUAUUUCAGCAUAAACAGCCACAUUUACAUCCAUCCCACCCACAUGCUGCUGUAACUCUCAGGAGAUUUCAGACUUCAUGUAUAAUACCUUCUCGUAGACUGUAUCUUAAAGUUAAUAGAGGGCUCAGAGGCCAAACUGUGAAAUGUAAAUAUACGUCAAUUAUUUUUUCUCAAACACAGUUUCUGUCAUUCUAGUUCAUUCUCCAUAUGUUGAUUAACGUCAGUGCUAACUUUCCUGUGGAAUAAGUUGUAAUUAUUUGUUUAAUUUUCUAAAAAUAAAAAGACUUGCAACAUCAUGAGUGACUGCUCUGUUGACAGAUGAGCACACAAUGGGCAGAAAUAAAGCAGUGUGUCCAUCCUCUAUACAAUCAAUGCGCCUCAGUGUGCUGCCUGACUGCAAAUAGGCUGGCGCUCACAUAUAUUUUGUUUCAUGGCGGAUGUGGUCAUCCAAGCAUAAAUCAGGGCAAACAGAAGUUACUCCUCCUAAUGGUCCUUGGCUGGGAGACAGAGGCAGAGCCUUUUAUGACACGGCUUGAAUGCAAUGAUGUUUAAACACAUCAUUUUCUUUGUGGCUGUGCCUCUAAUUUGUUUCAGUGACUUGUUCGACUUUUCACUGCAGCUCGGGACUAGAUGGCACUCAGUAAAUCAUACUGUGUUGUACUUCGCUGCUAUCCAGCUGUCAAUGUGCCAGUUCCACAAGUCAGAUUUUCUUCCAUGCCCCAUUAACAACCUAUUUUACAUCCACAGAUGCACAGCUCUGUGGCUGCGCCUGAAAUGAAACAUCAAAUUCAGCCUUUCUUGAUGUUAUUCUCUCAUCUGCUGAAUGCAAGUGUGUGAAAACAGGUGUAUUGAUUCAAAUGAGGGAAAAAAAGAAAUAGGACACCAAGCUGUGCUUUAUAAUUUACUAACAUUACAAAGAUUAGUAGAAAAAAAUAAGAUGUCCUGCUGUCACCUACAUGAAUAGAGAAAAUGACAAAAAUGUUUAAUUUAAAAUUGCUUCCCUCAGUCAAUGAAUACAUUAUCCUGCUCUCAUGGAGCUGUAGCAACAUGUGAUAAAAACAAGAAAUAAUAGACGUUUAAAACAAUCCCUUAUAUCAGUAGAGUUUAAAAGACUCUCCUCAAAGCAGACAAACUACUAAACUUAGACUUAACUUGUCCAUGCAUUUAAAAGGAUCAAUCAAUUAAUAUCAACUCUAACAUAAUUUGCAUGUUAUAACUGAAAAUUUCUUAAAAUGUCAUAGUUAGAAGUUUCAAAUAUCCAAAAACUUCCAAAAGCUUCUGAUGAGAUUUGCAGCUUUGAAGGUUUAACAACAUGAAUAAUAACGAAGAUCAUUUUAGGGAAUAAUGAUAUUAUGUAAGAUAAUGCUAGUUGUUAUAAUGGCAUUGAACUCUAACUGGUGGAAAAUGCCAACACAAAAGGUUCUGGUCUCACCCUGAAGGAGAUAUACUAUAUUCCAUUCAGUAUUUACUUAAUGUUCACCCCUAAAGCUUCUUGUACAUUAUAUCUCCAAUACAAUAUUAAACAGUGUCAGAAGGGAGCAACUUCUCUCUCUAUAUAUGAAUACUGACUGAGUGUCUAUCACAGAGGGCUAACAACAACAACUAUAUAAUCACUCUCUGUUGGCCCACUUUCUAUCAAUAAUGGAUCACAAAUCACCCGACACGUUCAAUUCUUGGAAUUCUUCACCAUGAGCAAUAUGGUUGUGUGAGUAUGGGCCACCCUUCAAUAAUGUUUAUAUAUAUAUUCUUGACAAAAUGACAUGGUUUGAUUGCUGAGUACAUGAAAGGUGGGUGGUGAAAAUGUCAACAUCAUAUUCUCAUAUGUCCCCUCACCGUCCUCAUGAGGAGUUGCAUCAUUUUUUUUUACCUUUAACCACUGUGUUUGAUGGUUAUACAGAAAUUGAAUUCCUCUGUUACUGAGAAUGUGAUUUAUAUGUGUUACAGGAUGGACAUCCCUCUCUUGCUGCAGUGGACCAUUUCUUCUCCUGCAUACUGAACUGGUGACCUCUCUUGAAUCUUUGGAAAGCAGGUAAUAGUCAAAAGAUUUAAAAGAGAGACUUAAAAAAUUGAAUAUCAUGACAAUGUUCAAUAUUCUCCAAAAGUUAUUGAAGAAAGUAAUGUAUCAAAUCAUAUACUAAUGUAUUAUUUGAUUAAUAUAAUGAAAAUACAUGCCAUUUUUAAAAUUAUAAAUCAAACGCUAUAUUAGAGUUUAUAAAUGACUGUGAAAGCAGUUUGACUUGUGGUGAAAUCCUUUCUGCUCCAUGGCAAUAUUAGCACCAAUAUAAAGAGAUAUUAUCCUGAACACUGACUUUUAUUAGAAAACAUGAAGACCAAAAGAAACCACAAAAAGGAAACUUUCAUUCAUAAAUGAAGAAAAAAUACAGACUGACAAGCCAGUUCAUUUUUCAACAAGAAGCAGUUUUUGUUCACUGAAUACAUCAUAGCGUUGCAACCUUACUUCAACGAAUCACAUAACAUGUUUCAGUCUAAAAACACCAUAUCAAGAAGCAAACAAUUAUUGAAUAUACUUGAAACAUUGCAUUCAUAAUCGUUUUUUGCGCUUUAUUAUGGAAAACAUGAGAAACAGAAAUCGGUUUUUUUUUCACACAAAUUUGGGUUUUUAAAAUUGCAGAGCCGUACACAAAUACUAACAUGAGCAGGAAGUUAAAAUUUCAGAAUGGUGCAUCAUGAAUAAGCAGCUCCCUGUCCUUAAAAAAUUCUUCAGUACAGUGAUGUUGAUAGCUUUUAAGGAAGUCUUGGAAACCCACAGGUAGUGAUUUUAGUGUGUCCUUUUGAAAACUUUUCAACAAUUGUGUUGAAAAUUUAAGUUACUUCUGAAGAAGUGCGUGAUUAUGUGUUUAAAAGGUGUGACAAUUUACAAGGAUAAUUCACCUUUAUGAUACAGAAAUGUCUCUCUUUUUUUGGCAGUUUUAAAAUGUUAUAAGUGUUUACAAGGGAACCCACUAGAAAAGAGAAAUGUACAGAGGUCAUCUGAGCAUAAGAUAAAUGCCAUGCAGUUAUAUGUGCUAAUUUUAAAGCCAAUUUAGAUAUGAAUAUGGAUGAAGAAUGCCAGAGAAUCUGUGGAAAAAAUACCAUUGUCACCUAUAAAAUGUGUCCUUCAUAGCCAAUUUUGUAACUGGUAAUUCUGAAACAAUAACAACAUGCUGAAGAUGAUUUUAAAUAAGAAGGAAACUGUCCAGCCUAUUCACUGAAACUAAAGACUGCCAGGGGUGACACUGAGGUGCACCUCCAUUGACAACAUUAAUAGUAGCAGUCCUGCUCCGCUGAUGGUUCAUAGUGUAUCAUUCUGACUGGGAAAGACAAGGUGGGUGUCAAAUUUAAAGAGUCAUUUCAAAAUUAUAUGUGUAAAAGAAGCAGGACAUGUAGCUAGCAACAUCACUGCAAGUGACACUUCAUAUCAAUAACAGCUGCAAACUGCACUCUUAGUUAUUUGGAGGUACCCAGUAUAAGUCCAACACAGCGGACUUUUGAUAACAGUAGCAGGGACAAAGUUCUCUUUACCAAUCAGUCAGCGUCAGCACAACCAGACACUAGUGCUUGAUGCAGUGGCUGAGAUGACAGGAGAGAGGCCUGAUAGAUGAAGUCUUUAUCUUCUGUGUUACUCAUGGACAUGCCAGAAGAGGAGUAAACUGGUCUAAAAGGGUGACAGGACACUAUGAGCUCUGCUAAGCUGACUCGCAGUAUUGACCUAUAGUCACAGUAAAUGCUCCAAAUAUACAUAUGAGUCAUAUUAACUGAUAAGUUACCAUAACAAAAUGUAUAGUUAGUUUCUCUUUUCAUGUGGAUUCUUGUGUUUCUGAACACUUAAUUCUUAUGAAAAUGUUUCCAUGUUAUAAGUUCAAGUACAGGGAUUAUCCUAUCUGGAUUCUCAUAUUGUUCCAGACACUUCAUCCUUCCUACAAAUUGCUUUUGGUGCCAAAACUCUAGUGUUCCUCAUGAGUUCAAGAUGGACUGUCAUGUGCCUCCUAACAUGUUGUUGAUGUUUAAAAGUCUUCUCGCAAAAACUACAACUGAAUGGUUUCUCCUCUGUAUGGACUGUCAUGUGUUUCUUAACAUGUUGUUGCUGACUAAAACUCUUCCCGCAAACAUCACAACUGAACGGUUUCUCCCCUGUGUGGACGGUCAUGUGUUUCUUAACAUGUUGUUGUUGUGUAAAACCCUUCCCGCACACACCACAUCUAUAGGGUUUCUCACCAGUAUGGGAUCUCAUGUGUACUGUAAUUCCUUGAUGGUGAGUGAAUGACUUCCCACAAAGUUUACAGCUAUAGGGUCUCUCUCCUGAAUGGGAUUUCAUGUGGUCUCUGGCGUGCUGCCGAUGUUUAUAGGCCCUCCCACAAACAUCACAACUGAAGGGUUUCUCUCCCGUAUGGACUGUCAUGUGUUUCUGAACAU